rnacentral:lncRNA from 1 species
GUCAACGGUCAUGUACUGUCUCCUGGGUUGGGUCCCAGCAGUUCUAAUGGGGCGGAGUCUCACCACAGUGGCCCAAGGUGAGUGUAUCGCCUCGUGUACACCGGUUGCAUCAAACUGUGUUCCGGCAGAAGUCCAUUUAUUUAAGCCGCACCGCUGCGACUCCUCUGCCGGACUAGGUUGUGGUGCGUGGCACUGCGUGCAGUGUGCCACAUGCGUUGGUUUGCCGUGCAAUACCAGAAGUAAACCACACAAAAAGUUCCUAAUGUGUAGCAUGAUACUUUUUGUUGUGAUGCGGUGCAUGGAUUGUGAAGACUACGUGAGAUGUACCAUACAGCAAUAACCCGUGUGCACGCAGCAUUAGAUUGUUUUACCUAUUUUGUUUUAUCAGAUUCUCUCAUGAUCAUUUUGAUGUACAGUAAUUCAUGAAUGCUAUUGAUGUAUUUUUCUACAGCAAAGAGGUGUAUAGUGCCAUCUCCAGCCAGGACAGCCCGUCUCAGAGCCUCCACAGUGCCGACAGCGAUAGCCACCUCCCCCCAAGCCCAGAGAAAAGGACUAAAACUCACUCUGACCCCCUCCCUCACCACCCACCAUCAACCACUGCUAACCCGCCAUCCUCAUUGGCCGAUGUUGGCGCUAAGCCACCUACUGACACCAUGAGGGAAUCCAGCUCCACCUCCAACCCUGGGGCCUUACCCCUCCAGCCCACCCCCCACUCCCUCAGAACCCUAGUCUCUCCAGCCUUCUCCCAGCCCCUCUCUGGACCAGGCCUGGGGACCACAAAAGGCCUCGGAGCACCACACAGCAGAUCUGGUGAGGACGUUAGGGAGACUGAGAACAGCCCAGCAGCAGGGCUGGAUGGACGGCUGGACGGCAAGCCCAGCUCCAGAGAGGGAAGAGACCGGAUGUAUUCUUCUGAUCGGGAUAAGGGGAGAGACCGACUAUAUUCUUCGGACCGCGAUAAGGAUGGAGACCGGCUGUACUCUUCUGACCGGGAUAAAGACGGAGAAAGGAAUGGGUACCACCGUGACAUGAGCCGUGAACGCAACUGGGACCGUGACUCAGACCGCUAUCGACACCGGCGGGACCACAGAGAUCGAGAACACCACCGAGACCGAGAACACCACCGGUCGUACCGUGAUCGCUCGGCCAGCCGGGACAGACACUGGGAGUCAGAGCGUCGCUGGGAGAGGAACGCCUACUACCCCAGGGACAGAGACCGCUACCACAGACCCAGAGAGAACAGGGAGAGGGACAGGAGGGAGCACAGCCUCCCCCAUAGAGAGGAGCCUCACGGACGCUCCAGGUUGAGGGGGGAGAGGGGUGAACGUAAGGACAGGGGUGAUGGUAAGAGGGGUUACUACCCUUCACAGGAGGAGGGCCCCCUGCCCACCCCACUAAGCUCCAACACCAAACCCAGUCAGCCCCCCACUAGCCCAGACCUCUCCCCAGCCAGACCAGCUCUGGAGGAAAGACCCGAUCCUCUGAGAGAGGACAGCGUUGAGGAGCGUCGGGCCAAGAAACACAAGAAGAGCAAGAAGAAGAAGUCCAAGGACAAAGCUAGGCGUCGAGAGAAUGGGACCUCUGAUGUGGAUUCCUCUGACAGGGCUGCCGAUGGCAGCAAGUCCUCCAAACACAAGAAGAAGAAGAAGAAGAGGAGGCACGACACUAACAUGGAGGACGAGAAGUCCCGCUCUACCCAGAGUUCCGAGGGGCACCGUGACCCCAACGCCCCCCAGGAGAGUCGCAGGGCGAGCAGCAGUGACGAGGAGAGGGCGAGCAGGAAGCGACGUUACCAGGACGAUGAUGGCUCUGACAAUAGCUACCCCGAGAAACACCAUCGCUCCGAUGACAACAAAGACCGCUUCUUCUCUCGCAACGCAUCGCACCACCACCUCAACGGGCACACAGGUAAUGGCUUCAGUCGACCCAAUGGAAACUCCCACGGAUGUUCUACCAAUGGACUGUACAAUGAAUGA